rnacentral:tRNA from 1 species
GAGGGUAUAGCUCAGUGGUAAAGUGCAUGCUUAGCAUGCAUGAGGUCCUGGGUUCAAUCCCCUGUACCUCCA